UUCUUCCUCCAGCUUGUCAACAGGAAGCGGUGGGUACUUCCUGUUGGUGCUGGGUGACCGGGCCAAUAGCGGAACAGUCUGGAGCUCUGAGCCGGCAAGCAGGAAGGAAGGAGGAGGAGUAAGGAGAGCAGGGAAGGAACGGGAGGAGAUAAAGACACAGGGGAUGGGAUGCCCACCAGAGGGCGAUGUGGGUCACCGUUAUAACCUGAGGAAGCACACUACCGCCUUGUUGGUUAGGUAAUCACAGUGAACAAAAGCUUUCUGCCAACAGUCAACCAGUGGUCUCUGGCAGAUCGUGUAUAAUGACCAUCGACAGUGCAUCACCCACCUGAGCAUGUAGAGGAUGAUGAUGAUGAAGAUGAUGACCAGCAGGGAGGACAGGGCCACCAUCACGGCGAUGAUCGGCAUGUCAUCUGACUGGUUGUUGUCUAGACCAGAGACGGAAAGAUACAAGAUUUAAUAUGAUUUGUAUGAUUCACCAAAACAAUAGCAAGAAAGUAAAGACAACAAUUGAACAUGUGUCUCCAUACUUGCAAAUGGGGGUUGCAAAAUGUGGACGUUUUGUCAAGACAAUUUUAAGAUUUAGCAAAUAUGUUAUGCACAACAUAGAAGAGGGAUCGUUACCCACACUAGAUUAGUUCUCAGGCUACAAAUAAACAGUUGAUGUCAUAUCCGCAAAUUAAUUAAUUCAUUAUUGUUCAAAGAAAUCUCAGAAAAUUGUGAGAAAUGCAAACCAUUACGCCCCAAAACCAAAGAUGAUUUGAUACAUUUGACCAGAAUUCCCAUAACCAGCUCAUUUCACAAUUAAUGAAGGCAAUGAAAUCUACAAAAUAUAUAACCGUGGUGAGAACAUUUAAAAAACUAAUUCCCAACCAUUGUGGAAAAUACGUUCACUUUCUGGCAGAGGCUAAGGUAAGAAGACUGACACCAACUCUAUGUGUCUGAACGAAAACUGAAUUGUCAAGCCAGGAAAUGUUUAAAAACAUUAAAUUAAAGAGAUUAGAUUAAAUGUUUGAAUUUGUAACUAUUGGAAUAUUUUUCUCAUUUUAGCGCCAAUCCAAAUGUUUAUCUAUAUCUAUUGUAGGAUUAAUUAAUUAAUUAUGUGAAGAGACGUUUAGUGGUGGGUUUCAUUUACAUUUACACAAGACAGAUUUGAAUAUUGUUAAAAUGAAUGUUGGUAGAAAAAUAAAAGCCACGGUGUUGAGGUGACCUCUGCCUCUUUCAACAA